rnacentral:rRNA from 1 species
GGGGGAUAACGUACCGAAAGGGGCGCUAAUACCGCAUAUUCCGUCGGGUCCUUGGACUUGACGGUAAAGGUGGCCUCUCCUUGGAAGCUACCGGGAAGAGAUGAGCCCGCGUCCCAUUAGCUAGUUGGUGAGGUAAAGGCUCACCAAGGCGACGAUGGGUAGCUGGUCUGAGAGGACGAUCAGCCACACUGGAACUGGAACACGGUCCAGACUCCUACGGGAGGCAGCAGUGAGGAAUAUUGCGCAAUGGGGGAAACCCUGACGCAGCGAUGCCGCGUGGGUGAAGAAGGCCUUCGGGUCGUAAAGCCCUGUCAAGCGGGAAGAACAGCUCUAGGGCUAAUAUCCUUAGGGUGUGACGGUACCGCUGAAGGAAGCACCGGCUAACUCCGUGCCAGCAGCCGCGGUAAGACGGAGGGUGCAAGCGUUAUUCGGAA